rnacentral:rRNA from 1 species
GAUGAACGCUGGCGGCGUGCUUAACACAUGCAAGUCGAACGGUGAAGGCGGAGCUUGCUCUGCUGGAUCAGUGGCGAACGGGUGAGUAACACGUGAGCAAUCUGCCCCUGACUCUGGGAUAAGCGCUGGAAACGGCGUCUAAUACUGGAUACGAGCUGCGCAGGCAUCUUCAGCAGCUGGUAAGAACUUCGGUGAGGGAUGGGCCCGCGGCCUAUCAGCUUGUUGGGGAGGUAUCGGCUAACCAAGGCGGCGACGGGGAGCCGGCGUGUGAGGGGGACCGGCCAAACUGGGACUGGGACAGGGCCCGGACUCCAACGGGAGGCAGCGGUGGGGAAAAUUGAACAAUGGGCGAAGGCCUGAUGCAGCAACGCGGCGGGAGGAACGACGGCCUUGGGGUGGUAACCCUCUUUUAGCAGGGAGGAAGCGAUAGUGACGGUACCUGCAGAAGAAGCGCCGGCUAACUACGUG